UACGUAGGGUGCAAGCGUUAUCCGGAAUUAUUGGGCGUAAAGAGCUCGUAGGCGGCUUGUCGCGUCGACUGUGAAAUCCCGCGGCUCAACUGCGGGUCUGCAGUCGAUACGGGCAGGCUAGAGUUCGGUAGGGGAGACUGGAAUUCUGGUGUAGCGGUGAAAUGCGCAGAUAUCAGGAGGAACACCGGUGGCGAAGGCGGGUCUCUGGGCCGAUACUGACGCUGAGGAGCGAAAGCGUGGGGAGCGAACAGG
rnacentral:rRNA from 1 species